AUUGAACGCUGGCGGCAUGCUUUACACAUGCAAGUCGAACGGUAACAGGCCGCAAGGUGCUGACGAGUGGCGAACGGGUGAGUAAUGCAUCGGAACGUGCCCGGUCGUGGGGGAUAACACUUCGAAAGAAGUGCUAAUACCGCAUACGAUCUGAGGAUGAAAGCGGGGGACCGUAAGGCCUCGCGCGAUCGGAGCGGCCGAUGUCAGAUUAGGUAGUUGGUGGGGUAAAGGCUCACCAAGCCAACGAUCUGUAGCUGGUCUGAGAGGACGGCCAGCCACACUGGGACUGAGACACGGCCCAGACUCCUACGGGAGGCAGCAGUGGGGAAUUUUGGACAAUGGGCGCAAGCCUGAUCCAGCAAUGCCGCGUGCAGGAAGAAGGCCUUCGGGUUGUAAACUGCUUUUGUACGGAACGAAACGGUCCGGGUUAAUACCCUGGGCUAAUGACGGUACCGUAAGAAUAAGCACCGGCUAACUACGUGCCAGCCGCCGCGGUAAUAC
rnacentral:rRNA from 1 species